rnacentral:rRNA from 1 species
UACAGAGGUCUCAAGCGUUGUUCGGAUUCAUUGGGCGUAAAGGGUGCGUAGGCGGCGCGGUAAGUCGGGUGUGAAAGCCCCGGGCUCAACCUGGGAAUUGCAUUCGAGACUGAAUAGCUAGGGUACGGUAGAGGGAAGUGGAAUUUCCGGUGUAGCGGUGAAAUGCGUAGAUAUCGGAAGGAACAUCAGUGGCGAAAGCGACUUCCUGGACCAGUACCGACGUCAGGCACGAAAGCGUGGGGAGCAAACAGGA